rnacentral:rRNA from 1 species
GUCUACGGCUAUGCCAACCUGAACACACCCAAUCUCGUCUGAUGUUGGAAGCUAAGCAGGGUCAGGCCUGGUUAGUACUUGGAUGGGAGACCACCUAGGAAUACCAGGUGCUGUAGGCU